UCUCCGUAGGUGAACCUGCGGAGGGAUCAUUACAGAGUUCAUGCCCUACCGGGUAGAUCUCCCACCCUAUGUUAUUAUUACUUUGUUGCUUUGGCGGGCCGUUAGGCUCCGGCCCGACUACCGGCCCCGGCUGGUAAGCGCCCGCCAGAGGACCCAAAACCCUGAGUAUUAGUGUCGUCUGAGUACUAUAUAAUAGUUAAAACUUUCAACAACGGAUCUCUUGGUUCUG
rnacentral:misc_RNA from 1 species